rnacentral:rRNA from 1 species
CCCUUAGAUGUUCUGGGCGGCCCGCGCACUACAAUGGCGUGUGCAGCGAGUGCCGAAGUAGAGUUUUCCGAGGUAUUCUUGCAAUGCUCGUUUUGAUGGGGAUAGACCCUUGCAACUGUUGGUUUUGAACGAGGAAUUCCUUGUAAGCAUGGUUUAUCAUCCGACGCUGAAUGCGUCCCUGCCCUUUGUACACACCGCCCGUCGCUCCUACCGAUGAGUCGUCCGGUGAAGUUCGUAAACCUCGUGAUCGCGGAUCACUGGGGGAAGCAAAAUGAACCUCGCGGUUUAGAGGAAGGAGAAGUCGUAACA